AUGCAUGUCUAAGCAUGAGCCGAAUUAUGGUGAAGCCGCGAAUGGCUCAUUACAACAGCCUUUGUUUCUUGGAUCUUGAACUACUUGGAUAACUGUGGUAAUUCUAGAGCUAAUACAUGCAACCAAGCUCUGACCUUGGGGAAGGAGUGCAUUUAUUAGACCAAGACCAAUCAGGCUUUGCCUGGAAUCUGGUGACUCUGAAUAACUUUGCUGAUCACACGGUCCUAGCACCGGUGACAUAUCUUUCAAGUGUCUGCCCUAUCAACUUUCGAUGGUAGUUUAUGUGCCUACCAUGGUGUUAACGGGUAACGGAGAAUAAGGGUUCGACUCCGGAGAGGGAGCCUGAGAAAUGGCUACCACAUCCAAGGAAGGCAGCAGGCGCGCAAAUUACCCACUCUCAGAACGAGGAGGUAGUGACGAAAAAUAACGAGAUGGUUCUCUAUGAGGCCCAUCAUCGGAAUGGGUACAAUUUAAACCCUUUAACGAGGAUCUAUUGGAGGGCAAGUCUGGUGCCAGCAGCCGCGGUAAUUCCAGCUCCAAUAGCAUAUGCCAACGUUGCUGCUGUUGAAAAGCUCGUAGUUGGAUCAUUCCGAGGAUGGAGUCUGUCUCAAGGACAUGCACUCUUGGUCCAAGGAUGUUUUCGCUGGUUUUCCUCUGGUGCUCUUCACCGAGUGUCAGGGGUGGCUAGCACGUUUACUUUGAAAAAAUUAGAGUGCUCAAAACAGGCGUUACUGCCUGAAUAGUGGUGCAUGGAAUAAUGGAAUAGGAUCUCAGUUCUAUUUUGUUGGUUUUAGGGGCAUGAGAUAAUGAUUAAGAGGGACAGACGGGGGCAUUCGUAUUGUGGCGUUAGAGGUGAAAUUCUUGGAUCGCUGCAAGACGAACAACUGCGAAAGCAUUUGCCAAGAAUGUUUUCAUUAAUCAAGAACGAAAGUUAGAG
rnacentral:rRNA from 1 species